AUACGAAAGGUGCAAGCGUUGUUCGGAUUUACUGGGCGUAAAGAGAGUGUAGGUUGUUUAUUAAGUCGGAUGUGAAAUCCCGGGGCUCAACCUCGGAACUGCAUUCGAUACUGGUAGACUCGAGUUCGGGAGGGGUAAGCGGAAUUCCGUGUGUAGCAGUGAAAUGCGUAGAUAUACGGAGGAACACCUGAGGCGAAGGCGGCUUACUGGACCGAUACUGACACUGAGACUCGAAAGCGUGGGUAGCAAACAGGAUUAGAAACCCGUGUAGUCC
rnacentral:rRNA from 1 species